GCUCCGCUAGCCUAGUGGUUAGAGUGUCCGCCUCAGAUGCGGGAGGUCGUGGGAUCCAUCCCCAGCCGCGUCAUA